AAAUUGAAGAGUUUGAUCAUGGCUCAGAUUGAACGCUGGCGGCAGGCCUAACACAUGCAAGUCGAACGGUAACAGGAAGCAGCUUGCUGCUUCGCUGACGAGUGGCGGACGGGUGAGUAAUGUCUGGGAAACUGCCUGAUGGAGGGGGAUAACUACUGGAAACGGUAGCUAAUACCGCAUAAUGUCGCAAGACCAAAGAGGGGGACCUUCGGGCCUCUUGCCAUCGGAUGUGCCCAGAUGGGAUUAGCUUGUUGG
rnacentral:rRNA from 1 species